GUCUAUGGCCAUACCACCCUGCAUGAGCCCAAUCUCUUCUGAUUUUGGAAACUAAGCAGGGUCGGGCCUGCUUGGUACUUGGAUGGGAGAAAGGCACAUUUCUAGCACC
rnacentral:rRNA from 1 species